CCUCACAUUCGAAAACAUUCUUAGUUUACAUUUUAUGUUCAUUCUUUUCUAAUUUUGUUUUCGUAUCUUUUUUAUAUCCCUCCCACAAGGAUUUCACUGGUUUCCCCUUUGCUAUCUCGCUUCUUCCACCUUAGAGCAAGGUUACGUAAUUCUGCUGGGGGUACGCAAAGAUCCAUAGGAAUAUAAUGCUCCUUGCGGAGGGCUUCCUGUUAUCCUCCUUGGCUUGAAUAUCUCGAGCAAGUCUCGAACGAGCUCCGCCUUCACUCAUUAACCCUACAGUAAUCAAUAUCAAAUCAACCCCAUGUCUAGGAUACCUGGCAUGAUAUGAUAUGCAAGACUCUGAGAGGUGUUGUGAGUAGAUAAAUCCAACACUUGAGAGCCUCAUUAUACCCGAUAGCGCUGUUCAUUUCUCCUACUGCGAUGUCAUAGCUAUUGUUCCAUGCACCGAAUCAUUUAAAAAACUGGUUAGGCUAGGCGCAUCAUACGAGAGAAGCCACGGAAACAGUCUGGGGCUGCGCUUGGAUCUCUCCAUGUCAGCUUGAGCAUUUACACCGUAGCACCGCCCAUGCUUCAGCUACGUCGAUGAUCGGCUGCUACAAGCGACUAGUAUCCCUGGAUUUCAACCGACACAAAAACCGAGCAUAUUUCAUUACUAGAAAUUAAGAU
rnacentral:sRNA from 1 species